GAGAGGUGGCCGAGUGGACGAAGGCGUUUGAUUCGAAAUCAAAUGUAGUGAGAGCUACCGUGGGUUCGAAUCCCACCCUCUCC
rnacentral:tRNA from 1 species